rnacentral:rRNA from 2 species
UACGGAGGGUGCAAGCGUUAUCCGGAUUCACUGGGUUUAAAGGGUGCGUAGGUGGGCUAGUAAGUCCGUGGUGAAAUCCCUGAGCUUAACUUGGGAACUGCCAUUGAUACUAUUAGUCUUGAAUAUCGUGGAGGUAAGCGGAAUAUGUCAUGUAGCGGUGAAAUGCUUAGAUAUGACAUAGAACACCAAUUGCGAAGGCAGCUUGCUACACGGUCAUUGACACUGAGGCACGAAAGCGUGGGGAGCAAACAGG